GGCUCAGGAUGAACGCUAGCGGCAGGCUUAACACAUGCAAGUCGAGGGGCAGCAUGAGGGUUAGCAAUAACUCUUGAUGGCGACCGGCGCAAGGGUGCGUAACGCGUGAGCAACUUGCCCGUUUCUGGGGAAUAACCGGUGGAAACGCCGACUAAUACCCCAUGGCAUCACAUCAAGGCAUCUUUUUGUGAUUAAAGAAAUUCGGAUAAGGAUAGGCUCGCGUGACAUUAGCUAGACGGCGGGGUAACGGCCCACCGUGGCUACGAUGUCUAGGGGUUCUGAGAGGAAGGUCCCCCACACUGGAACUGAGACACGGUCCAGACUCCUACGGGAGGCAGCAGUGAGGAAUAUUGGUCAAUGGUCGGAAGACUGAACCAGCCAAGUAGCGUGAAGGAUGAAGGUUCUAUGGAUUGUAAACUUCUUUUAUACGGGAAUAAAACCGCCUACGUGUAGGUGCUUGUAUGUACCGUAUGGAUAAGCAUCGGCUAACUCCGUG
rnacentral:rRNA from 1 species